rnacentral:rRNA from 1 species
CCUACGGGAGGCAGCAGUGAGGAAUAUUGCACAAUGGGGGCAACCCUGAUGCAGCGACGCCGCGUGCGGGAGGAAGGCCUUCGGGUCGUAAACCGCUUUUCUGGGGGACGAGCAAGGACGGUACCCCAGGAAUAAGUCCCGGCUAACUACGUGCCAGCAGCCGCGGUAAGACGUAGGGGGCGAGCGUUAUCCGGAAUUAUUGGGCGUAAAGCGCGUGUAGGUGGUCGUGUAAGUCAGAUGUGAAAGUCUUCUGCUUAACAGAAGAAGGGCAUUUGAAACUGCUCGACUAGAGUACGGGAGAGGAGAGUGGAAUUCCCGGUGUAGAGGUGAAAUUCGUAGAUAUCGGGAGGAACACCAGUGGCGAAGGCGGCUCUCUGGGCUCUGCCUGACGCUGAGGCGCGAAAGCGUGGGGAGCGAACCGGAUUAGAUACCCGGGUAGUCCACGCCGUAAACGUUGGGCACUAGGUGUGGGAGGUAUUGACCCCUUCUGUGCCGAAGCUAACGCAUUAAGUGCCCCGCCUGGGGAGUACGGCCGCAAGGCUAAAACUCAAAGGAAUUGACGG